GAUGAACGCUGGCGGCGUGCCUAACACAUGCAAGUCGAGCGGACGAACGAGGCUCUCUCUUCGCUGCUGUUAGCGGCGGGCGGGUGAUGAACACGUGGAUACCCGACCGAUAAGAAUGACGUAAGGUCGGGGAAGCUGAUAUCGUACCGGAUGAGAUGGUGAACCGCAGGGUUCAACAGAGAAAGAGGGUCUUGCUGUCACUAAGAGAGGGUUCCGCGUUGGAUUAGCUAGUUGGUAAGGUAAAGGCCUACCAAGGCAACGAUGCAUAGCCGACCUGAGAGGAUGAUCAGUCACACUGGAACUGAGACACGGUCCAGACUCCUACGGGAGGCAGCAGUGGGGAAUCUUCCGCAAUGGGCGAAAGCCUGACCGAGCCAUGCCGCGUGAGUGAUGAAGGUCUUCGGAUCGUAAAGCUCUUUUAUUUGGGAAGAACAUCUGUGUAAGUAACUCUGGCUAUCUUGACGUUACCUAAACAGAAAGCCCCGGCUAACUACGUG
rnacentral:rRNA from 1 species